UACGGAGGGUGCGAGCGUUGUCCGGAAUCACUGGGCGUAAAGCGCACGUAGGCGGACUCUUAAGUCGGUGGUGAAAUCCUGGAGCUCAACUCCAGAACUGCCUUCGAUACUGAGAGUCUCGAGUCCGGGAGAGGUGAGUGGAACUGCGAGUGUAGAGGUGAAAUUCGCAGAUAUCAGGAGGAACACCGAUGGCGAAGGCAGGUCUCUGGGCCACUACUGGACGCUGA
rnacentral:rRNA from 1 species